GGCGGCGCAGGCGGGUGAGAGUUCGCCCGCUCGGGGCGGGCAACAGACGGCGGGGGUGCCAGCACCCCCGCGCUGCUA
rnacentral:tRNA from 1 species